GGAGUGGGGCUGGGCCCGGGGGAGGCCUGACCCCCUCCGCACCACCGUACGGAGCCGCAUUUCCCCCGUUUCCCGAGGGGCAUCCAGCCGUGUUGCCUGGGGAGGACCCACCCCCCUAUUCACCCUUAACUAGCCCGGACAGUGGGAGUGCCCCUAUGAUCACCUGCCGAGUCUGCCAAUCUCUCAUCAACGUGGAAGGCAAGAUGCAUCAGCAUGUAGUCAAAUGUGGUGUCUGCAAUGAAGCCACCGUGAGUUACACAUAUCUAUGAAAUGGGCCCUGUUUCCUGGAUCCUCUUUCUGAUGUCUUGGUUCUAGACCCUGACCUUCCGGCUAUUAGCCAAGUGCUUUUGAUGAUACCCAGGUUUCAGUUCCAGGUGUCUCACACAGCCAUUUCCCCAGAAGCCACUCACCAAAGCUAAUGUUCACUUUCUCUCACUUUUACACCUAGCCUAGUUCCUAUUUGCAAAUCUCAUGAUAUAGUCUUUCUUUUAUUUCUCCUUCCUGGUUAGCACCUUAUUUUUCUGAUCUCAUAAAGUGUUUUUGGAGGGAAGUGGAGGGGAUUGGGAUUAGAGGUUUGCUUGCUGAUGACCCUAUUAUUCUCUAGCCAAUCAAGAAUGCACCCCCAGGGAAAAAAUAUGUUCGAUGCCCCUGUAACUGUCUCCUUAUCUGCAAAGUGACAUCCCAACGGAUUGCAUGCCCUCGGCCCUACUGGUAAGAGGCAUAAGGUGGGGAAGGGCCUAAGUGGGGAACUGGAAAGUCAAAAAAGGAUGAGCGUAUACAGAGAAUGUAAAGGUGAGAGAGCCUAGUGUUUAUUUAGGAGAAAAGGCUUUGAAGCAUGUGCCUCAGGAAUGUUAUAGCUGUCUUUCUCGUUUCUCAAUAAAAAUAUUGAGAUGAAAUGAUGUCGUUUCGGAGAAUAGAGAGCCUUGGGGACUGGGUGUGUUAUCCUGAGGUCGGAGGGGAAUUGGGGACCUGAAGUUUAAACAGUGCUCUUUCUUUCUCAAGGAUUCUUGAGGGUAUACAGUUGGGGGACAGAGUAUCUUAAGUACAGAGAAGUCGAGUGACUUAAUAGACAGGGAGUGGGGGAUGUGGAACAGGGACUGUGAAGAUUUUUAGGAUUAAAAAUUUUUCAAACACAAGUUUGAAAAUACAAGUCUUUUUCUUUUGUAUAGCAAAAGAAUCAUCAACCUGGGGCCUGUGCAUCCCGGACCUCUGAGUCCAGAACCCCAACCCAUGGGUGUCAGGGUUAUCUGUGGACAUUGCAAGAAUACUUUUCUGUGGACAGAGUUCACAGACCGCACUUUGGCACGUUGUCCUCACUGCAGGAAAGUGUCAUCUAUUGGGCGCAGAUACCCACGUAAGAGAUGUAUCUGCUGCUUCUUGCUUGGCUUGCUUUUGGCAGUCACUGCCACUGGCCUUGCCUUUGGCACAUGGAAGCAUGCACGGCGAUAUGGAGGCAUCUAUGCAGCCUGGGCAUUUGUCAUCCUGUUGGCUGUGCUGUGUUUGGGCCGGGCUCUUUAUUGGGCCUGUAUGAAGGGUUGCUGUGUCUAGGGUGAAGUAGGCAAAACGUUGCCCUUAAAACUGGGCCCUGAAGACGGUUCCAGCCUUGUCCUUCCUGUGUGCUCCCUGAGAGCCAUUCCUGUCCCUUACACAUUCCAGGGCAGGGUGGGGGUGGGUAGCCCUGGGGGUUCCCCUCCCUCUUGUGCACCAUUAGGACUUUGCUGCUGCUAUUGCACUUCACCAGAGGUUGGCUCUGGCCUCAGUACCCUCAGUCUCCUCUCCCCACAUUGUGUCCUGUGGGGGUGGGGUCAGCCGCUGCUCUGUACAGAACCACAGGAACUGAUGUGUAUAUAACUAUUUAAUGUGGGAUAUGUUCCCCUAUUCCUGUAUUUCCCUUAAUUCCUCCUCCCGACCUUUUUUACCCCCCCAGUUGCAGUAUUUAACUGGGCUGGGUAGGGUUGCUCAGUCUUUGGGGGAGGUUAGGGACUUAUCCUGUGCUUGUAAAUAAAUAAGGUCAUGACUCUA
rnacentral:lncRNA from 1 species